rnacentral:rRNA from 1 species
ACGCUCGACACCUACGGUAGGCAGCAGUGGGGAAUAUUGCACAAUGGGGGAAACCCUGAUGCAGCGACGCCGCGUGGAGGAAGAAGGUCUUCGGAUUGUAAACUCCUGUUGUUGGGGAAAAAGAGGAUGGUACCCAACAAGGAAGUGACGGCUAACUACGUGCCAGCAGCGCGGUAAUCUGAGCGGGCUGGCAAGGC